UACAGAGGUCUCAAGCGUUGUUCGGAUUCAUUGGGCGUAAAGGGUGCGUAGGCGGCUCAGUAAGUCGGGUGUGAAACCUCCAGGCUCAACCUGGAGACGCCACCUGAUACUGCUGUGGCUGGAGUCCGGUAGGGGAGCGUGGAAUUCCUGGUGUAGCGGUGAAAUGACGCAGAUAUCAGGAGGAACACCAGCGGCGAAGGCGGCUCACUGGUCCGGUACUGACGCUGAGGAGCGAAAGCUAGGGGAGCAAACGGG
rnacentral:rRNA from 1 species